rnacentral:rRNA from 1 species
AUGCACCAAUCUGAUAGAACCAUGCCUUCACAACGGUUAUUACACACAUCAAUUUUCUCAACCUAUUAUGUGCUUGGUUCACUUGAUGAAAAAAUCAUCAAAAUCCUAAUAGAAGCACACACUGAAUUAAUAAAAAAAAGUGAAAUCAAAGCAACACGAUCUUACUUGAAUGUUCGUAUGCUAAAAAAAAAAGUCAAAGCAACAAGAAUCACAACCCAAAGUAUGACCCAAACGCUAGCUAAAUUACUCCAUCUCUUUAGCGACUGGAGCUUCCACAUCUCUACCACCGACACAAUAGAAGCUAAGAUGAAUACAUUACAUUAA